AGAAAGAGCCGGAGGACCGUCCGCCGCCUUCGUCCGGGGGAAUCCGCCGCGGCCGCGCUCGCAACUUUGCUCGGCCGGACCCCGUCCGAUGCCCGGCGCCGAAGACGAAGAAGACGAAGAGGACUAAAAGCCCUGAACCCUAACAAUACCCACCAGGGGCCUGGGAAGAGACAAGACAGACAGACAGACAGACAGACAGACAGACAAUACCCACCGGGGGCCUGGAAAGAGGCAGACAGUCGGACAGACAGACAGACAGACAAUACCCACCGGGGCCUGGAAAGAGACGGACAGAGAGAAAGGGUCAGAGGCAGACAGACCGACCGAAAGGGACAGAGACGGACAGACGGAGAGAGGCGGGGGAGGGGGAACUCGAGGACCCCUGGCCCGACUGCGAGAGGUGCAGGAGGGGGAGCCCGGAGUCCCGUCCCCUCCCCCGCCUCUGGCAAGUGGAGGAAGGGGAGUCGGCCGAGGGGGCAGCGCGUCCCCUGUGCACCGGUUGGAUUUUCAUGGGAUGUGAUUUUUCCGUGGCGGGGCGGGGGUUUCGAGGGCGGUGACAUCGGAUUUUUUUUUGUUUGUUUGUUUGUUUCCCUUCCCUCCCCCCAUCGGCGGGGCUGCCCGGGCCGGGGGCGGGAGGGAGGUGAGAGGGGGGUCGUGUGUGCGUGCAGGGGAAGGCCCAGAGCUGUGGGUCUUUCUCCGUCUCCCCGUCUGCGUGUCUGUGUGUGUCCCCCCGCCUCCCUCUCGUGCGCUCCCCCUCCUCCCCCGUCCCCUCCCCUGCUCCCCCGCCCCCGCUGCAGCUCCUUUAAUACACUUUGGUUGUCGGCCUGCCUUUGGACUCUUCUUCGCCGUCGUCUUGUCCUCCUCCUCCUUGCCCCCUCCCCCGGCCACCCCCCUCCUUUUCCUUUUCCUUUUCCUUCUCCUCCUCCUCCUCCUGGUCGUCGUCGUCGUCGUCGUCGUCGUCCUUUCUCCGGCUGGGCGCCCCGGCCCGGCCGGCUCGAGUCUGCAGCUCGGGGCGGCGGGAGCGGGGUCCGGGGUGCGGGGGUGCGGGGGUCCGGGGACGGCCGCCGGGGCUGA
rnacentral:lncRNA from 1 species